GCAUCAGGAAGAAAGCUUGCUUUCUUUGCUGGCGACCGGCGCACGGGUGAGUAACACGUAUCCAACCUGCCCUUUACUCGGGGAUAGCCUUUCGAAAGAAAGAUUAAUACCCGAUAGCAUAAUGAUUCCGCAUGGUUUCAUUAUUAAAGGAUUCCGGUAAAGGAUGGGGAUGCGUUCCAUUAGGUUGUUGGUGAGGUAACGGCUCACCAAGCCUUCGAUGGAUAGGGGUUCUGAGAGGAAGGUCCCCCACAUUGGAACUGAGACACGGUCCAAACUCCUACGGGAGGCAGCAGUGAGGAAUAUUGGUCAAUGGGCGCUAGCCUGAACCAGCCAAGUAGCGUGAAGGAUGAAGGCUCUAUGGGUCGUAAACUUCUUUUAUAUAAGAAUAAAGUGCAGUAUGUAUACUGUUUUGUAUGUAUUAUAUGAAUAAGGAUCGGCUAACUCCGUGCCAGCAGCCGCGGUAAUACGGAGGAUCCGAGCGUUAUCCGGAUUUAUUGGGUUUAAAGGGAGCGUAGGUGGACUGGUAAGUCAGUUGUGAAAGUUUGCGGCUCAACCGUAAAAUUGCAGUUGAUACUGUCAGUCUUGAGUACAGUAGAGAUGGGCGGAAUUCGUGGUGUAGCGGUGAAAUGCUUAGAUAUCACGAAGAACUCCGAUUGCGAAGGCAG
rnacentral:rRNA from 1 species